rnacentral:lncRNA from 1 species
UUUUAUUGUGUUACUUUGAUACAUAUGACGCGAAUCUGUAAUUAUACGUCCCGUCAUUGUGUAUCAUGGUAAUUGUGCUACGGUAAAUAUUUUUUCUUCUUGUCUUUAAUUUUUUUUUAUGCUUUGUCUAUAUGCCUUUUUGUGCUUCUUUGUUACAUAUUUGUUUGGUUCAUAGUGAUAACGAUUAUAACACAAUGUUGACUGCUGUACCCCUAUUUUUUUACAUUUUUACUUAUUAGAUCUAUAUCU